rnacentral:lncRNA from 1 species
GAGAUGAAGUUUGAAGCUUCACUGGGCUCACUGUUGCCAGCAGCGUUCACGGCAGUCACCCGGAACUGAUAAAGAGUAGACGCCUUGGUGGCUCCUCUGGCAGUUCUUGAUGACCAUGGACGAGCUAAUUGCUGUGGUCUCAAUGGCGGCCUCUUGAGUAGCCAGUAAUUGGAGACCCUCCAUUGUCCAGAGGAGGAGUCCAGCUCACAAGCAUAGAUCCUUUGGUACGUUCUAAGACUUUCGGUUUUCCAGGAGGUCCAGGGAGGCGGAGUUACUUACAGAUUGGAUCACGAGCUGUUUUAGGAUCCGAAGGUGGGCUGAACUUUCCAGGUCCAGCAGCAUUUUCAGCACAAACUCGGAAGACAUAGGUGACGCGCACACACACACACACACACAAUCAAUAAAACAUACCAAUAGGGUCGACAGCUUUGGUUGGGGGAGUGGCCCGGGAAGGUUCACCAAUACCAGCAGCAUUCUCCGCUCGCACACGGAAUUGGUACUCU